UCCUUUUUGACUCAAAUAGACGGAACGAAAGACGGGACGUUUAGGAAUGCUCCUCCGACCAUCCGACCAAGCGCGCAAAUGGAUCCCGCACCGGUCGAUUCAGCCUUCUCCGCCGUCCCCACUGUCUCUCCCGCUCCCGCUCCCGCUCCCGCUCCCAAUCCAAGUAACAAUAAAAAGCCUUCCUUUUACCCCCUCCGCGUCCUCUCCCCCAUGGCCUCCUCCCACCCCGGCGACGAGGAGGAGAGCUCCCUCCUUCCCUCUCUCUCCGCUGGCCCUGACUCCCUUUAUGACGAAGAAGACGACACCGAGGAGCGCGCCUACGACGCCCGAGAGAAGAUCGUCGUCGGGAUCGACGCCGACGAGCCGGGCGCUGUCCCCACCUUCUCCUGGCGGAAGCUCUGGCUCUUCACCGGCCCCGGGUUCCUGAUGAGCAUUGCCUUCCUGGACCCCGGGAAUCUGGAGGGGGACCUCCAGGCCGGGGCCGUUGCCGGGUACUCGCUGCUGUGGUUGCUGUUCUGGGCCACCGCCAUGGGGCUUCUGAUCCAGAUGCUGUCGGCCAGGCUCGGGGUUGCCACGGGAAAGCACCUGGCGGAGCUCUGCCGGGAGGAGUAUCCCGGUUGGGCGCGACUGGCGCUGUGGUUCAUGGCGGAGGUGGCCCUGAUUGGGGCGGAUAUACAGGAGGUGAUCGGGAGCGCUAUUGCUAUCAAGAUUCUUAGCCGCGGGGUGCUGCCGCUUUGGGCUGGAGUUGUUAUCACCGCCAUGGAUUGCUUCAUGUUCCUGUUCCUUGAGAACUACGGUGUGAGGAAAUUAGAAGCUGUUUUUGCGUUUCUCAUCGCAACAAUGGGCAUUUCCUUUGCUUGGAUGUUUGGUGAAACUAAGCCCAGUGGGAAGCAGCUUCUGAUUGGUGUAUUGGUUCCAAAACUAAGCUCAAAAACCAUUAGGCAGGCUGUUGGGGUUGUGGGCUGUGUCAUUAUGCCCCACAAUGUAUUCCUGCACUCUGCUCUUGUACAGUCAAGAAAGAUUGAUCCUAACAAUGAAAUCUGUGUUCGAGAAGCAAUAAAUUAUUAUUCCAUAGAGUCUUCUUUGGCCCUGAUUGUCUCCUUCACAAUAAAUCUGUUUGUUACAACAGUUUUUGCAAAAGGAUUUUAUGGUACUAAAGAAGCUAAUAGUAUAGGUCUCGAGAAUGCUGGGAAGUUUUUACAAGAGAAGUAUGGGGGAGGGCUAUUUCCUAUUCUUUACAUCUGGGGAAUCGGGUUAUUAGCAGCUGGGCAGAGUAGUACGAUUACAGGCACCUAUGCUGGACAAUUUAUCAUGGGUGGAUUUCUGAAUCUUCGUUUGAAGAAAUGGAUCAGAGCAUUGUUUACUAGGAGCUUCGCAAUUGUGCCAACUAUAAUUGUUGCUUUGUUUUUUGAUUCAUCUGAUUCUACAUUGGAUAUUUUAAAUGAGUGGCUCAAUGUGCUGCAAUCUGUUCAGAUCCCAUUUGCCCUUAUUCCACUUCUAACAUUGGUAUCAAAGGAGCAUCUUAUGGGAGUUUUCAAAAUCGGCGCUACUAUUCAAAUGGUAACCUGGACUGUCGCUGCUUUGCUAAUAAUAAUCAACGGCUACCUCUUGCUGGAAUUCUUCUCUUCUGAAAUACAUGGUCCGUUGCUUGGUUCUAUUGUGUGCAUAGCCGUGGCUGUAUACGUGGCAUUUAUAAUUUAUCUCAUCUUGCGUGGUGGUGAAUUAUCCACUCGGCUUGCAUCAGCAUUCCGCUGGAGAUUCUCAUGAGGAUUUGAACUCAAAAUAGAAUUGAUUUUGCUUUAACAUGUUUGGAAGAUACAGAAUAUGAGUUUGCUAUCCCACAUUUGAGAGAUUGGAGAUAAUGUUGUACAGAAGCUGCAGGAGCUCGAGGGUUAUAUUUUUAGAUUGGCCUUUCAUGGUCUUGUAAAUCAGUCAAAUAAUGUUCCACAGCGUAGUUGUGUUUGGAAUAGGUUUGCUGUACUCUACCUCUGUGUUGAAGAGGCCAGCAGUUCUGUAGUAUGUUGAUUUCACACGAUCAGCUUUUCCGAGCCAUUUGCAGAAGCCUCUUUGGUAUGGUUAUCUCUAGCAAAUUUUCUCCCUGUUGCAAUGCAGGAGAUGACAAGUAAUUCAUUCACAGGUUUAAUAUGUCAGGAGGCUUAUCCAAGGGAGGGACUCAUUUCUCUGCUCCCUGGAUCACUAUAGUCAGUACCAAGGAACAUACAAAAAAAAUAGAUGGAUGCAACUUGGGGCAGGCAAGGGUGCAAUUGGAAUUCAGAAGAGAAGCAGCUGCAGAUGGAUCGGAUCGGCGAAGUUAUAUUAAUCCUCUGAAUUAAGUGAUGCUGGAGCCUCAAUGCCAAUGUCAAAAAAUUAGGCUGGCAUGGUGAUCUUAAGCCGGUAUUCCUUGGAUAAAAGAGACCUAUUGAAAUUAUUUCACAGAAGGGAGAAUUACUCUAGGCCUGACCCUGACAUAUGUUCUGAAAAGGAAGAAUGGCCGAGUUUCUAGUUUGAUAUGUUGUCAUGAAUGCAGGAGCAUAUUAAUCUUCUUUUCUUUUCUUUUCUUUUUCCUUUUUUGAGGUUUGUUUUUGCAGGACGGUCCCAUUCUUUUCUGAAGUUGGAAGCCAGUCCCUUUCUUUCUCUUU